rnacentral:rRNA from 1 species
GGACGGGUGAGUAAUGCCUANCGAAUCUGCCUGGUAGUGGGGGAUAACGUUCGGAAACGGACGCUAAUACCGCAUACGUCCUACGGGAGAAAGCANGGGACCUUCGGGCCUUGCGCUAUCAGAUGAGCCUAGGUCGGAUUAGCUANUUGGUGGGGUAAUGGCUCACCAAGGCGACGAUCCGUAACUGGUCUGAGAGGAUGAUCAGAUCACACUGGAACUGAGACACGGUCCANACUCCUACGGGAGGCAGCAGUGGGGAAUAUUGGACAAUGGGCGAAAGCCUGAUCCAGCCAUGCCGCGUGUGUGAAGAAGGUCUUCGGAUUGUAAAGCACUUUAAGUUGGGAGGAAGGGUUGUAGAUUAAUACUCUGCAAUUUUGACGUUACCGACAGAAUAAGCACCGGCUAACUCUGUGCCAGCAGCCGCGGUAAUACAGAGGGUGCAAGCGUUAAUCGGAAUUACUGGGCGUAAAGCGCGCGUAGGUGGUUAGUUAAGUUGGAUGUGAAAUCCCCGGGCUCAACCUGGGAACUGCAUUCAAAACUGACUGACUAGAGUAUGGUAGAGGGUGGUGGAAUUUCCUGUGUAGCGGUGAAAUGCGUAGAUAUAGGAAGGAACACCAGUGGCGAAGGCGACCACCUGGACUGAUACUGACACUGAGGUGCGAAAGCGUGGGGAGCAAACAGGA